UACGUAGGGGGCUAGCGUUGUCCGGAAUCAUUGGGCGUAAAGAGCGCGUAGGCGGCCCGAUAAGUCCGCUGUGAAAGUCAAGGGCUCAACCCUUGAAUGCCGGUGGAUACUGUCAGGCUAGAGUCCGGGAGAGGUGAGUGGAACUGCGAGUGUAGAGGUGAAAUUCGUAGAUAUUCGCAAGAACACCAGUGGCGAAGGCGGCUCACUGGCCCGGUACUGACGCUGAGGUGCGAAAGCGUGGGGAGCAAACAGG
rnacentral:rRNA from 1 species